UUUUGGAACCAAUUUGCCAAUUUAUGCGUGUAUACAUAUGUAUGUACUGACUCAUUUGGGAACCUUCCUCAUAGGUUUGGUUUGUCUCCACAGGGAGAGAUCAUGUCCCACUGCAUGACUCCCUUCUGAACCCAGAAGUCUACCUCUUGAGUUUGGCUUUCAAGAACAGAGGCAGAGGAAGACCUAGUGGGGAGGAUGUUCCAGGAGGAAGCAUGUCAGCAGGCGAGAGUGAGGGCUGCUGCUGGAACCCUCCAGAGUCAGAAAAAUUCUCAGGAAGACUUUUCUGCUCAGAGCGCAGGGAUCCGGCAUGUGUGAAAGAAGGCAGGGGCAGAUUUGAAGAUGCUUCUGGCCUUGAAGACGAGACCAGGGCUAUCCAGUCGCCUCCAGAAGCUGGAAAAGGCAAGAAAAUGCAUUCUCCCCUGGAGCUUCCAGAAGGAACUCAGGCCCGCUUGCCAACACCUUGACUUUAACCCAGUGAAACCCAUUUUGGACUUGGGACCUCUGGAAUGGACCUCACUCUGAGAGAAGAGACCAGAGAGCCUUUCAGUCUGGUCAGUCCAGCAUGCUGUAGACAGACUGACUCCCUCCUCUGUUCUCUCUCAAGGGCUGAAGAGUAAUGGAGGGUCAGUGCUCACGUGAUGACGAUGACGCAGAGAAACAGGAAGAAUAGAGCCAUAACACCUGCUCCCCCAGCAGCCCCCAGCAGCCUCUCAGAAAAAGGCCAUGCUUUUCCUGCAGACAGAUUGGAUUAUUGGUGAUUCCUCUCCAAGAACUCAGUACAUUCUCCCACUUCCUGUAGGACCCCAGGUUCCCAUUUUCUAGCUCCUCUGCCAGACUCCAAACAGGGGCACCCGGGUCUUGGGGAGGGAAUUAGGGCCAGGUGAGGGAGGCAAAUGGAGGCUGGAGUGCAGCCUGUCUGUAUUUAAAAUGUGGAUAUUGGGUUCAUGGUAAUAUUUAUUUUGCAUUCAUUUAUAUUUUUAAAAACACUGCAAUGCAGUAUUACUUCUCAUUACUGAGGUUUUGGGACUUCUCUUUGAAUUUUGUGCUCUGGUGAGUGCUUCACUUGCCUCACCUUCCUCCCUGCCCCACAAAUCAAGGAUCUGUGUCCCUGGACACACCUGUGCAGGCCCCAGCCCCUCUCCUUCAAGACCCAGGUCCUUCCCCUCUCAGGCUUCACCCCACCCUACAGCCCUGGUCUGGCAGGAAGAGGACAGUGAUACUAUAGGUGGCAGGGAAAAUCUUGGCCUCACAGGGGAGCACAGACCAGAGUUGAGCUUCCCUGUAAGGCUCAGAGGCUGCUGGGGAUCCUGGGGGCAGUGCGAUUGUUCUCCCCCAGCAGCCCCCUACACA